rnacentral:rRNA from 1 species
GACAAACGCUGGCGGCGUGCUUAACACAUGCAAGUCGAACGGAGUACCCUUGAUUGAGGCUUCGGCCAAUUUCUUGGACUACUUAGUGGCGGACGGGUGAGUAACACGUGAGUAACCUGCCCUUGAGAGGGGAAUAACACACCGAAAGGUGUGCUAAUACCGCAUAACAUAUUGAAGCCGCAUGGUUUUAAUAUCAAAGAUUUAUCGCUCAAGGAUGGGCUCGCGGCCGAUUAGGUAGUUGGUGAGGUAACGGCUCACCAAGCCGACGAUCGGUAGCCGGACUGAGAGGUUGAACGGCCACAUUGGGACUGAGACACGGCCCAGACUCCUACGGGAGGCAGCAGUGGGGAAUAUUGCACAAUGGGGGAAACCCUGAUGCAGCGACGCCGCGUGAAGGACGAAGGUCUUCGGAUCGUAAACUUUUGUCUUCAGGGACGAUAAUGACGGUACCUGAGGAGGAAGCCACGGCUAACUACGUG